UCCACUUCCUUUUUUUCGGGGACCUUCUGGGCAGGGCGGACUCCACGUCCGAUCAACGAGUACCCGUUUUUGACCACAGGAGGGCACACUUUUCCGUCCCGUAGAAUGACCAUCGACGACGACCACGACGUUCCCAGUACGGCCGAGUUCCUGUCCAUCCGCCGAGGCCGUCCCCAACUUCCUGUCCGUUCCCUGCUUUUUCCCGUGCUCUUUUCUGAACUACGUUGACGGAGCGCACGUCUACCGGCGAGGCCUCAGGAAGGAAAAAAGGAAGCCUGCUACUGCCUCAGUGGAAAGGGCACAAAGAGACCCAGCCUCCUAGUCUCUCGUACCGGCAUCCAGCCGCCUGCUUAGGGACAGGAAGUCGGCCAUGCCGAGAAGGUCGUUCUGAAUGGAAGUGGAAGGACGGCCACAGAAACGGACAGGAAGUUGGCCAUCCCGGGGAGGUCGGUGUGUAAGACAGUGGAGGACUACUGCGCAUGUGUGACUGGAAGUUGGCAGGUAAGGUUGAUUUCCUUGUGUGGCUGCUAUUCCUGCCUAAGGCUGCGUUCUGAUGACUUUGCCCCUAAAAUAACAACAUAGUCUUUCAUAUCUUGGGAAAGCCUGACUUUUUUGCCCUCUUUUGGGCAAGGAAAGAGUAGGGCCUCAGGUUUUUAAGAAGAGACUUGACAACCAUGUG